GACGAACGCUGGCGGCGUGCUUAACACAUGCAAGUCGAACGGAAAGGCCCUGCUUUUGUCGGGUUCUCGAGUGGCGAACGGGUGAGUAACACGGGAGUAACCUUCCCUGUACGUGGUGAUAACUGCAAGAAACUGGUGCUAAUACCGGAUAGGAGCUCCUGCUGCAUGGGGGGGUUUGGAAAGUUUAGGCGGUUGUGGGUGUAUUCGGGGGUUAUCAGCUUGUGGGUGGGGUAGUGGCUUACCAAGGCAUUGACGGGUAGCCGGCAUGGGAGGGUGACCGGCGACCAUGGGACUACGAUACGGACCAGAGUCGUACGGGAGGCAGUAGUGGGGAAUAUUGCACAAUGGGGGGAAGCCUGAUGAAGAAACGUUGCGUGCGGGAUGAAGGUUUUCGGGUUGUAAACCGCUUUAGGCUGUGACGAAGCGUGAGUGACGGUAAUGGGUAAAGAAGCACCGGCUAACUACGUG
rnacentral:rRNA from 1 species